rnacentral:rRNA from 1 species
UACGGAGGGUGCGAGCGUUGUCCGGAAUCAUUGGGCGUAAAGGGCGCGUAGGUGGCCCGGUCAGUCUUUGGUGAAAGCGCGGGGCUCAACCCUGCGUCGGCCAGGGAUACUGCCGCGGCUCGAGCACUGUAGAGGCAGGCGGAAUUCCGGGUGUAGCGGUGGAAUGCGUAGAGAUCCGGAAGAACACCGGUGGCGAAGGCGGCCUGCUGGGCAGUUUAGCUGACACUGAGGCGCGACAGCGUGGGAGCAACAGG